rnacentral:rRNA from 1 species
AUUGAACGCUGGCGGCAGGCCUAACACAUGCAAGUCGAACGGUAACAGGAAACAGCUUGCUGUUUCGUUGACGAGUGGCGGACGGGUGAGUCAUGUCUGGGUAACUGCCUGAGGGAGGGGGAUAACUACGGGAAAAGGUAGCUAUUACCGCAUGACGUCGCCAGACCAUAGAGGGGGACCUUCGGGCCUGUUGCCAUCGGAUGUGCCCAGAUGGGAUUAGAUAGUAGGUGGGGUAAGGGCUCACCUAGGCGACGAUCCGUAGCUGGUGUGAUAGGAUGACCAGCCACACUUGAACUGAGACACGGUCCAGACUCAUACGGGAGGCAGCAGUGGGGAAUAUUGCACAAUGGGCGCAAGCCUGAUGCAGCCAUGCCGCGUGUAUGAAGAAGGCCUUCGGGUUGUAAAUUACUUUCAUCGGGGAGGAAGGGAGUAAAGUUAAUACCUUUGCUCAUUGACGUUACCCUCAGAAGAAGCACCGGCUAACUCCGUGCCAGCCGCCGCAGUAA